rnacentral:misc_RNA from 1 species
GAUGAAGAACGUAGCGAAAUGCGAUAAGUAAUGUGAAUUGCAGAAUUCAGUGAAUCAUCGAAUCUUUGAACGCACAUUGCGCCCGCCAGUAUUCUGGCGGGCAUGCCUGUUCGAGCGUCAUUUCAACCAUCAAGCCCCAGGCUUGUGUUGGGGACCUGCGGCUGCCGCAGGCCCUGAAAACCAGUGGCGGGCUCGCUGUCACACCGGGCGUAGUAGAUUUUAUCUCGCUCAGGGCGUGCUGCGGAUUCCGGCCGUUAAAAAGCCUUUUUUACCCAAGGUUGACCUCGGAUCAGGUAGGAAUACCCGCUGAACUUAAGCAUAUCAAUAAGCGGAGGA